rnacentral:tRNA from 2 species
GCGCCCGUAGUUCAACUGGAUAGAACGUCUGACUACGGAUCAGAAGGUUGGGGGUUCGAGUCCUCCCGGGCGCACAA